rnacentral:rRNA from 1 species
ACACGCAUGACACACUGCAUAUCAAUAAGCGGAGGAAAAGAAACUAACAAGGAUUCCCCUAGUAACGGCGAGUGAAGCGGGAAGAGCUCAAAUUUGAAAUCUUAAAGGGUUUCCCUUUACGAAUUGUAGUUUAAAGAAGUGUUUUCUGUUGGAGUUUCGGUAAAAGUUCUUUGGAAUAGGACAUCAUAGAGGGUGAGAAUCCCGUAUUUGACCGUUACUUUCCAGCUGUGUGAUACACUUUCAAAGAGUCGGAUUGUUUGGGAAUGCAGUCCAAGAUGGGUGGUAAAUUUCAUCUAAAGCUAAAUAUUGGCGAGAGACCGAUAGCGAACAAGUACCGUGAGGGAAAGAUGAAAAGAACUUUGAAAAGAGAGUUAAACAGUACGUGAAAUUGUCAAAAGGGAAGCGUUUGACACCAGUGUUGUUUUUCCGAAAAUCAAUUAUGAAUGGCUCGAUUUUAAGUUUCAUGACCUUAAAAGCUUGUUUCUUAUUUUUCAUGUCUUUCGUAAUGCACUUUUCGGUUAACAAGUCAACAUCAAUUUCUUUUGUUGUAAAAGGUUAAGAGGAAGGUGGCUUUACUUUCGGGUAAAGUGUUUAUAGCCUUUUAACUCUGCAAUCGGAGAGAUUGAGGUCUGCAGCGUAGAUCCUUCGGGGUUAGAUACAGUUUGUGCUAAGCUAUAGCCUUUUCAUAGACAACUUGUUGACUAUGAUCAGUCAUGUACUUACUCGCAGUAUGCUAUUUUACCUACGCUUAGGAUGUUGAAGUCAUCGUAUCGCGC